AGAGUCUGUUCCUGGCUCAGGAUGAACGCUAGCGGCAGGCUUAACACAUGCAAGUCGAGGGGCAGCGGGGAGGAAGCUUGCUUUCUCCGCCGGCGACCGGCGCACGGGUGAGUAACACGUAUGCAACCUGCCCCUGUCAGGGGGACAACCCGCCGAAAGGCGGGCUAAACCCGCGUACAUGCCACCGGGGCAUCCCGGAGGCAGGAAAGGCUUCGGCCGGACAGGGAUGGGCAUGCGGCGCAUUAGGCAGUAGGCGGGGUAACGGCCCACCUAACCGACGAUGCGUAGGGGUUCUGAGAGGAAGGUCCCCCACACUGGUACUGAGACACGGACCAGACUCCUACGGGAGGCAGCAGUGAGGAAUAUUGGUCAAUGGUCGGGAGACUGAACCAGCCAAGCCGCGUGAGGGAGGAAGGUACAGAGUAUCGUAAACCUCUUUUGUCAGGGAACAAAGACUGGGACGCGUCCCCGGAUGAGUGUACCUGAAGAAAAAGCAUCGGCUAACUCCGUGCCAGCAGCCGCGGUAAUACGGAGGAUGCGAGCGUUAUCCGGAUUUAUUGGGUUUAAAGGGUGCGCAGGCGGUCUGUUAAGUCAGCGGGUCAAAGCCCGGGGCUCAACCCCGGCCCGCCGUUGAAACUGGCAGUCUCGAGUUGGAGAGAAGUAUGCGGAAUGCGCGGUGUAGCGGUGAAAUGCAUAGAUAUCGCGCAGAACUCCGAUUGCGAAGGCAGCAUGCCGGCUCCACACUGACGCUGAGGCACGAAAGCGUGGGUAUCGAACAGGAUUAGAUACCCUGGUAGUCCACGCAGUAAACGAUGAAUGCUGGCUGUCCGGGGGGACUGACCCCUGGGUGGCGAAGCGAAAGCGAUAAGCAUUCCACCUGGGGAGUACGCCGGCAACGGUGAAACUCAAAGGAAUUGACGGGGGCCCGCACAAGCGGAGGAACAUGUGGUUUAAUUCGAUGAUACGCGAGGAACCUUACCCGGGCUCAAACGGGGAGUGCCGCAGGCAGAGACGCCUGUUUCCCACGGGACACUCCCCGAGGUGCUGCAUGGUUGUCGUCAGCUCGUGCCGUGAGGUGUCGGCUUAAGUGCCAUAACGAGCGCAACCCCCGCGUGCAGUUGCUAACAGAUAACGCUGAGGACUCUGCACGGACUGCCGGCGCAAGCCGCGAGGAAGGCGGGGAUGACGUCAAAUCAGCACGGCCCUUACGUCCGGGGCGACACACGUGUUACAAUGGGUGGUACAGCGGGAAGCCAGGCGGCGACGCCGAGCGGAACCCGAAAUCCACUCUCAGUUCGGAUCGGAGUCUGCAACCCGACUCCGUGAAGCUGGAUUCGCUAGUAAUCGCGCAUCAGCCAUGGCGCGGUGAAUACGUUCCCGGGCCUUGCACACACCGCCCGUCA
rnacentral:rRNA from 1 species